CCUAAUAUGGAAAGAGAGUUCUACUCAUCACCUAUUGAUUGGUUAUUAAUUAAUAUUAAAGACAUGCCCAUUCAUAUUGUGUUUUAUGAUGUUCUGUUAUCAAAAAUUGAAGAAUAUCUAGACAACAAUUCAUAUGUACAGGCUGCUAAAUUGUUUAAUACUCACUUUAAAGACAAUGACAGAACUGGACAAUAUAUAUUAGUAUAUACUUUAGUUUACAAUAAUUAAUGGACUUAAUCAUGUGUUUGUGUUGGGUCAGUCUUGUAUAUGUACAUCUACAUGUAUAUCAAAUUCAUGUGAUUUGUAGCCUUUUUACCCCUCCACAAAGUCCA